GGGUUUGGGUGGGUUAUGGGUCCAUAUUGUAACAAUCAAAAGAGAGAAAGGGGCAUGGUUUAUGAUGAAUUAGAAUGUAUGACUAUCGUGAAGUCAUCAGCCACAACUAACCUGUUCUGUGUGAGGCAUUUGCAUGCAUGUUAGUUUUCUUGUCUGUUCCUGGUUUCAAUAAAGAUGCAACUAAUAACUUUCAUUCUGAAGAAAAUUUUGAAUCUGAGAUUUGCCAUAAACAGUCGAUUUGCCUGCAUUAGAUUUUAAUCCUUUCAUUUUGCUCUUGUUUGCAUUGAAUUUGAAUGUAAACUGAAGUGAAAGAAUUUUUAUUCUUCAAUAACUCCCUUGUCAUGUGUGAUUACUUAUGCAGGAGGGUCCAUAUCUUAAAAGCA
rnacentral:misc_RNA from 1 species